rnacentral:rRNA from 1 species
ACGAACGCUGGCGGCGUGCUUAACACAUGCAAGUCGCACGGAAAGGCCCUGCUUGCAGGGUACUCGAGUGGCGAACGGGUGAGUAACACGUGGGUGAUCUGCCCUGCACUUCGGGAUAAGCUUGGGAAACUGGGUCUAAUACCGGAUAGGAACCAUCUUUAGUGUGGUGGUUGGAAAGUUUUUUCGGUGUAGGAUGAGCUCGCGGCCUAUCAGCUUGUUGGUGGGGUAAUGGCCUACCAAGGCGGCGACGGGUAGCCGGCCUGAGAGGGUGUACGGCCACAUUGGGACUGAGAUACGGCCCAGACUCCUACGGGAGGCAGCAGUGGGGAAUAUUGCACAAUGGGCGCAAGCCUGAUGCAGCGACGCCGCGUGGGGGAUGAAGGCCUUCGGGUUGUAAACUCCUUUCGCUAGGGACGAAGCUUUUUGUGACGGUACCUAGAUAAGAAGCACCGGCUAACUACGUG